GCUGGGCAUGGUAGCUCAUGCCUGUAAUCCCAGCACUUUGGGAGGCUGAGGCAGGUGGAUCACCUGAGGUCAGGAGUUUGAGACCAGCCUGGCCAACAUGGUGAAACCCUGUCUCUA
rnacentral:SRP_RNA from 1 species